GAUGAACGCUGGCGGCGUGCCUAAUACAUGCAAGUCGAGCGAACAGACGAGGAGCUUGCUCCUCUGACGUUAGCGGCGGAUGGGUGAGUAACACGUGGAUAACCUACCUAUAAGACUGGGAUAACUUCGGGAAACCGGAGCUAAUACCGGAUAAUAUUUUGAACCGCAUGGUUCAAUAGUGAAAGACGGUUUUGCUGUCACUUAUAGAUGGAUCCGCGCCGCAUUAGCUAGUUGGUAAGGUAACGGCUUACCAAGGCAACGAUGCGUAGCCGACCUGAGAGGGUGAUCGGCCACACUGGAACUGAGACACGGUCCAGACUCCUACGGGAGGCAGCAGUAGGGAAUCUUCCGCAAUGGGCGAAAGCCUGACGGAGCAACGCCGCGUGAGUGAUGAAGGUCUUCGGAUCGUAAAACUCUGUUAUUAGGGAAGAACAAAUGUGUAAGUAACUAUGCACGUCUUGACGGUACCUAAUCAGAAAGCCACGGCUAACUACGUG
rnacentral:rRNA from 1 species